UAAUGCAGUCGAACGCGAAGCAUCUUCGGAUGUUAGUAGAGUGGCAAACGGGUGAGUAACGCGUGGGAAUAUACCUUAUAGUACGGAAUAGCCUCGGGAAACUGGGAUUAAUACCGUAUACGCCCUUAGGGGGAAAGAUUUAUCGCUAUAAGAUUAGCCCGCGUCAGAUUAGCUUGUUGGUGGGGUAAUGGCCUACCAAGGCAACGAUCUGUAGCUGGUCUGAGAGGACGAUCAGCCACAUUGGGACUGAGAUACGGCCCAAACUCCUACGGGAGGCAGCAGUAGGGAAUAUUGGACAAUGGGCGAAAGCCUGAUCCAGCAAUGCCGCGUGAAUGAUGAAGGCCUUAGGGUUGUAAAGUUCUUUUAGUGGGGAAGAUAAUGACGGUACCCACAGAAAAAGCACCGGCUAACUCCGUGCCAGCAGCCGCGGUAAUACGGAGGGUGCAAGCGUUGUUCGGAAUUACUGGGCGUAAAGCGCGCGUAGGCGGCUUAGUAAGUUGGGAGUGAAAUCCCGGGGCUCAACUCCGGAAUUGCUUUCAAAACUAUUAAGCUAGAGUAUGGCAGGGACAGUGGAAUUCCUAGUGUAGAGGUGAAAUUCGUAGA
rnacentral:rRNA from 1 species